rnacentral:rRNA from 1 species
UACGUAGGGUGCGAGCGUUAAUCGGAAUUACUGGGCGUAAAGCGUGCGCAGGCGGUUCGUGAUGUCUGAUGUGAAAGCCCCGGGCUUAACCUGGGAAUGGCAUUGGAAACUAGCGGGCUGGAGUGUGGCAGAGGGGGGUGGAAUUCCACGUGUAGCAGUGAAAUGCGUAGAGAUGUGGAGGAACACCGAUGGCGAAGGCAGCUCGCUGGGACGGAACUGACGCUGAGGCGCGAAAGCGUGGGGAGCGAACAGG